UUCCUAAAUUCUAGGAAGAAGAUGUCUUUGGGAAAUUUUCGUAGCAGCGCUUGGGAGUUCGGUGGUCACAGUUUGGUCAAACUUCCGGUAAAUAUAAUCAAUACUCAUGCUUUUAGAAACUAUGUUACGUAUGCAGAACUUUUAGAUUCUAAUAGUUCAGUCCACAAUUGUUAGUUUUCACUGCCGCGACCUGUAACUUUCAGAUUGUAACGGAAUGUACCUAAAUAAUUUGCUAAGCAAGUUCAACCUAGGAUAAUUAUUUAUUGUAGAUUAUUAGAUUAUAGAAUUGAUGCCUACUAGGUUUAAACUUGUAGUUCAUGAUAAAUUGUUGAGUAUGAAAUUUAUUACUUGCUAGAAAUGAAUAAUUAUUCAUAAUAAUUGAUAAUAUAAUAGAUUUAAAAUAAGAAUUAGUUAUUACUAGUUGAUAUAAUGUAGACUUUAUAUUUCAUGAAUUAGACAUGAUCAAUAUUCCAGUUCUUAUAUGAUAAUCAAUUAGACCAUAAGAUCAAAUACUAAUAUGAUUAAGAUUAAAAUAAUGAGUAGACAAUAAUCAUUAGUAGUGAAUUCGGUUUGUCACACUUCACGACCGACCAUGAAGUGGUUUCUUCCCAAGUCGUCGAAUAGUCGCCCUAAUCAGCUCCAGUCUUGUUGGAUCAUAGUAUCAUAUUACUCUCGUCUUUAGGUUCCUAAAGAUCAUCCAGUCCCUAGGUUUUAUCGUCAUUCCUCGUAGGGACCAUCACAGUUGGAUUUUAAGGUGGGUGGUUUAAAAGGGUAAAUUCGUAUCGUUGCUAUAGUUAGGUUAUGCAUGUUUUAUGGUAUGUUUAAUUAUGCAGUUAAAUUUGUUUAUGUUUAUAUAUUUAUUUUAUUCUUAUGAUGCUCUUAUGUACCUAUAUGACUAAGUUAGCUAGAAGAUUAUAUGCUUAGCUAGUUAGUGAACAAGAAAGAACUACCCUUAGUAGACGACCUAGUAGUCAAGUGAUAUAGCAGAACGUAGCUCUCUAGUUAGACCCACAGUCCAGAAUGUCGGCGUAUGACCUUAGACCACUAGAGAUCCAAGACUUAACUAAUUGGGCCACUAGAGACCCACUGUUAUCAAUUGGACCACUAAAGAUCCCAUGUAAACAUUUUGGACCACUAGAGAUCCACUAUUAGCUAUUGGGUCACUAGAGUCUCACAUGAUAGUCCUGGGCCACCAGAGACCCAUAGUGUUAUCUUCAGUCCGAAAAAUGGAUGGUAGGUCUAGUUAGAUGAGUUCAGGGGAUGUCCUAUAGUUAUGAUAUACUAGAUGGAUGAUGCUAGUAGAAGUUAGACAACCUUAGUAGUGGUUGCAUAGUAGGAGAAAUGAAUUUUAGCUAUUUAUGAUAAGAUGAAGUUUAAUGUGAAUAAUGUGUUAGUAGUGUCUUCAUAUUAAUUGUUAAGAUUAGAGCACGAAAGAAUGACCCCAAAACCACCCACCAAGGUGUUUUGAUAGUUGAGGUAGGAGCAGAGUGGAGCUGAUUCGGGAUGUGGAGUGAUGGACUUAAUCAUUAUAUACGAUUAUUUAUUUUAAAGUGUUUUAUGAGACUUAAGUUUAUUUUCAUGUUGACCUUAAGUUAUAGUAGUUUCCGAUGUUUGUUAAGAUAUUUAAGUUUGUUUUUACAUUAUUGUCUUUAUGUAUUCAAAUUCAUUUUUAAUUCCUUUUCAAAGAGUCUCAGUCGGGCAAUUCAGUCAUUUAAUAAAUGCUAAAAGUUUAGGGUGUUUCAUUUUAUACCAAAAUAUAACACCUUAGACAAAUCCCACAUCGACAAAGCAAAGGGCUAUAAGUAAGAAUUAGUCUCUAACUCACAAGGCGCGUUUUUGAGGUGAAAUGGAGUUUUUUCUAAGAACUCUUAACUUAAUCAUGCUCAGGUGGGAGCAGUGCAUAAAUGGGUGACCUCAUGGGAAGUCAUUGUUCUGUGCCCGAAAAUAUAUCCGUGAGGGAUUAGAUAUGCCGAAAGCAGACAAUAUCUUGUCGGAAAAGGUCGGGGUGUUACAAGUGGUAUCAAAGUCUCUCUGAGUCCCUCUUGAACGAUGGUGGGGCAAACCUCAAUGAGAACGUUGAGUCCCAACGGGGUGUAAUGUAACACUUUAGGCAAAUCCCACCGAUAGAACACAGGAGAAAUUCAUGGGCUAGAAGUAAGACUAUGUCCCUAACUGACAAGACGCGUUUUCAGGGUGAAAUGGAGGAGUAUUUUCUAAGAACUCAAAAAUUAAUCGUGCUCAGGUGGGAGCAGUGCAGAAAUGAGUAACCUCUUGGGAAGUCACUAUUCUGCACACAAAAAUAAAUCCGUGAGGGAUUAGCUAUGUCUAAAGCGGACAAUAUCUUGUCGGAAAAGGUCGGGUGUUAUAAACCCGCCACCCGAUAGUUAGCGGUGAUGAUUUGAGUAUGGUGCUAUAAACACUAAUGAGUCGGUGACGGAUAAAAUUCGUGGGCAUAAUUCAUUAGCAACGGAUAGGGGGUAUCCGCUCCGUAUCCAACCCAUUGUCAAAUCUAUCGUUUGGUGCUUAAACGGAAAAAUAAGUACUAAUGGUAGUUUUUGCAUGCCGAAUCAGAACUUAUAUUGUUGUGGGUUUGUUCGGUACCCAUUCAUUUUUUGAUUGGGACCAAUCAAAAAAUUAAUGUUUAUAGCCAUUGUGUUUUAAGGUUCAUCUUUCCCAUUGUUAAACUUAAUCAAUUCAGCAUGGCUAGGAAGUAUAUGACAGAAUGAUAAGGUUUCUUUGAAUGGUUUUAUAUAAGAAUUACUAAUGAAAACAGAAGUUGAUGAGAAAUAGUGGAGACAGUUUCGCUGUUAGUAGGUCUAAAGGUUCGUUAGAGAGAUAGAAUUGCUAUUCUGAGAUGGAACCAUAAGAGCAGCUGGCUGAUUUCUCAAGUAUGUAAGCUCUUUAGCUUUUUGUAUUUUUUAAUCGGAUGUUGAGUAAUCAUGUUAUGACCAACUGAUCUCGUCCUAAGUUGGUAAAUCAAGAACAAAUCAUUGAAUGGAAACACUAGGUGGUGCCUGUAACGGAAUCCAUUCAGACCAUUUGAAUGGAAUGCGAAAUUGAUAAGAUUUGAUGCAAACAGAAAAUCAAAAAAUUACAAUGAUGGAUGGUGUUUAGUUGUUGGUAUUCAAAUAUAAACAUAAACUUUAUGUGAUGCAGUAAGUCCUAUGAAGAUGUAUGGAUGAUUUAAAUCAAAUUCCCCAAGGUUAAUUCUCUAUUUGACAAACUUGAAAAUUUGUAGUCCAAUUAAUUACUAUAUUUAAGUAGAAUGCUAUUUGUAAGUUGUAGACCUAUUAAUUAUUAUAGCGUCAAUGUUGACAUUUCGAGAUUAAAAGAAUUUUUUGGAACUCCUAUUUAAAGCCCGGUUCUCCCUCAUUCAAAGACAGACUUCUCUGGAUGAAAUUGAGAGAUUUAUUGUGAGAUUUGAGAGCAACUUAAAGAAAACUUCAAGAGCUCGGAAUUUCCGAAGUAAUCAAGACGGUGAAUCAAGUUCUUCGGGAAGAUCGGUGAAAUUAAGGAUUUUUUGGAACUCCUAUUUAAAGCCCGGUUCUCCCUCAUUCAAAGACAGACUUCUCUUGAUGAAAUUGAGAGCUUUAUUGUGAGAUUUGAGAGCAACUUAAAGAAAACUUCAAGAGCUCGGAAUUGCCGAAGUAAUCAAGACGGUGAAUCAAGCUCUUCGGGAAGAUCAGCGAAAUUAAGUUUUUCAUAAUUUUUUGUGUAAACCUAGAUUCAAUGUCUUCCUCUUCUGAUUUUGUCUCUUGAGAUUAUGAGCAGCUGUACUUCUCUUCCUUAGAUUAGAUGAACCCCAGGUUAAUUCCUAUGAACGAAUGAUUUGAUACAUUUGACGAUUUGUGCGAGUUGGAUGGAUUUCAUUGCAUAUUUGAUUACAUUUUUUUAUUUGUUCUUGUCUGAUCAACUUGAAUGAAUCUCUG
rnacentral:lncRNA from 1 species